AAACAUGGACCUUUUUUAUAGAAUGAUAAGAUGACAACAUAUGUAUGGUUUGCUAAUUUGACAUUUUUAAUAAUAUUUUUUGGCUCUUCUUCGCUAACAUGCCAAAAAAAUUAACCAGCUCCUCCUUGAUCAUGAAAAGCACAGAAGCUGCAAAUACACUCUGUACUAUCUUGGUGCUCAUUCCUUUGUAGAAGCUAGAUAUUCCUUCAUAAUGGAUCAUUUUUACAAUUGCAUCCAGGAUACCUGAAUAUCUCAAUGAAUUGUUUGUGCUGAUUUCUUGCUUUGCUUGAAGUCUU
rnacentral:lncRNA from 1 species